rnacentral:rRNA from 1 species
CAGUAGCCGCGGGAAUACGAAGGGGGCUAGCGUUGUUCGGAAUUACUGGGCGUAAAGCGCACGUAGGCGGAUUUUUAAGUCAGGGGUGAAAUCCCGAGGCUCAACCUCGGAACUGCCUUUGAUACUGGAGAUCUUGAGUUCGGAAGAGGUUGGUGGAACAGCUAGUGUAGAGGUGAAAUUCGUAGAUAUUAGCUAGAACACCAGUGGCGAAGGCGGCCAACUGGUCCGAUACUGACGCUGAGGUGCGAAAGCGUGGGGAGCAAACAGGAUUAGAUACCCCAGUAGUCCCUGUCUCUUAUAC